rnacentral:rRNA from 1 species
UACGUAGGGUGCGAGCGUUAAUCGGAAUUACUGGGCGUAAAGCGUGCGCAGGCGGUUUUGUAAGUCAGAUGUGAAAGCCCCGGGCUUAACCUGGGAAUGGCAUUUGGGACUGCAAGGCUUGAGUGCGGCAGAGGAGACUGGAAUUCCUGGUGUAGCAGUGAAAUGCGUAGAUAUCAGGAGGAAUACCGAUGGCGAAGGCAGGUCUCUGGGCCGUAACUGACGCUGAGGAGCGAAAGCGUGGGGAGCGAACAGG